rnacentral:RNase_P_RNA from 1 species
GGAGUUGGCCAAGGCAAUCGCUGGAUCUUCGUUGAAGAUCGGGAGGAAAGUCCGGGCUCCAUAGGGCAGGGUGCUAGGUAACGCCUAGGCGGCGCGAGUCGACGGAAAGUGCCACAGAAAAUAUACCGCCGGUUUGGCAACAAAACGGUAAGGGUGAAAUGGUGCGGUAAGAGCGCACCGCGCACUUGGCAACAGGUGUGGCAGGGCAAACCCCACUCGGAGCAAGACCAAAUAGGGGAACAUUGGCGUGGCCCGCGCUGUUCCCGGGUAGGUUGCUGGAGGCGUUUGGUGACAAACGUCCUAGAGGAAUGAUUGCCCUCGACAGAACCCGGCUUAUCGGCUAACUCCUUUU